AUUGAACGCUGGCGGCAGGCCUAACACAUGCAAGUCGAACGAGUGGCGGACGGGUGAGUAAUGUCUGGGAAACUGCCCGAUGGAGGGGGAUAACUACUGGAAACGGUAGCUAAUACCGCAUACCAUCGGAUGUGCCCAGAUGGGAUUAGCUAGUAGGUGGGGUAACGGCUUACCUAGGCGACGAACCCCAGCUGGUCUGAGAGGAUGACCAGCCAGACUGGAACUGCGACACGGUCCAGACUCCUACGGGAGGCAACAGUGGGGAAUAUUGCACAAGGGGGGAAAGCCUGAUGCAGCCAUGCGGCGUGUAGUGGGAGGGCCUUCGGGUUGUAAAGUACUUUAAGCGAGGAGGCGUUACUCGCAGAGGAAGCACCGGCUAACUCCGUGCCAGCCGCCGCGGUAAUAC
rnacentral:rRNA from 1 species